GACGUAGGGGGCCAGCGUUGCUCGGAAUUACUGGGCGUAAAGGGUUCGUAGGCGGUGUGGCAAGUCGGGAGUGAAAUCUCUGGGCUUAACUCAGAGGCUGCUUCCGAAACUGCCGUGCUAGAGUGCUGUAGAGGGGGGUAGAAUGCCGGGUGUAGCGGUGGAAUGCGUAGAGAUCCGGCAGAAGACCGGUGGCGAAGGCGGCCCCCUGGGCAGUAACUGACACUGAGGCGCGACAGCGUGGGGAGCAAACAGG
rnacentral:rRNA from 1 species